UACGUAGGGCGCAAGCGUUGUCCGGAAUUAUUGGGCGUAAAGAGCUCGUAGGCGGUUUGUCGCGUCUGUCGUGAAAGCCCACGGCUUAACUGUGGGUCUGCGGUGGAUACGGGCAGACUAGAGGCAGGUAGGGGAGAAUGGAUUUCCCGGUGUAGCGGUGAAAUGCGCAGAUAUCGGGAGGAACACCGGUGGCGAAGGCGGUUCUCUGGGCCUGUACUGACGCUGAGGAGCGAAAGCGUGGGGAGCGAACAGG
rnacentral:rRNA from 1 species